AAAAUCAUGCACUGUAACUCGCUUUGGACAAAAGCGUCUGCUAAAUGGCAUAUA
rfam:Salmo salar isolate Sally breed double haploid chromosome ssa19, whole genome shotgun sequence.